rnacentral:rRNA from 1 species
UGAGGAAUAUUGGUCAAUGGACGAGAGUCUGAACCAGCCAAGUAGCGUGAAGGAUGACUGCCCUAUGGGUUGUAAACUUCUUUUAUACGGGAAUAAAGUGCAGUAUGUAUACUGUUUUGUAUGUACCGUAUGAAUAAGGAUCGGCUAACUCCGUGCCAGCAGCCGCGGUAAUACGGAGGAUCCGAGCGUUAUCCGGAUUUAUUGGGUUUAAAGGGAGCGUAGGCGGAUGCUUAAGUCAGUUGUGAAAGUUUGCGGCUCAACCGUAAAAUUGCAGUUGAUACUGGGUGUCUUGAGUACAGUAGAGGUAGGCGGAAUUCGUGGUGUAGCGGUGAAAUGCUUAGAUAUCACGCAGAACCCCGACUGCUGAGGCAAGGCCUGCCAAGCCAAGUGCACUGACGCUGAUGCACGAAAGCGUGGGGAUCAAACAGGAUUAGAUACC